rnacentral:rRNA from 1 species
CCUGGCUCAGGACGAACGCUGGCGGCGCGCCUAACACAUGCAAGUCGAACGAGAGAGAAGGAGCUUGCUUCUUCGAUCGAGUGGCGAACGGGUGAGUAACGCGUGAGGAACCUGCCUCAAAGAGGGGGACAACAGUUGGAAACGACUGCUAAUACCGCAUAAGCCCACGGGUCGGCAUCGAUCUGAGGGAAAAGGAGCAAUCCGCUUUGAGAUGGCCUCGCGUCCGAUUAGCUAGUUGGUGAGGUAACGGCCCACCAAGGCGACGAUCGGUAGCCGGACUGAGAGGUUGAACGGCCACAUUGGGACUGAGACACGGCCCAGACUCCUACGGGAGGCAGCAGUGGGGAAUAUUGCACAAUGGGGGAAACCCUGAUGCAGCGACGCCGCGUGGAGGAAGAAGGUCUUCGGAUUGUAAACUCCUGUUGUUGAGGAAGAUAAUGACGGUACUCAACAAGGAAGGACGGCUAACUACGUGCCAGCAGCCGCGGUAAAACGUAGGUCACAAGCGUUGUCCGGAAUUACUGGGUGUAAAGGGAGCGCAGGCGGGAAGACAAGUUGGAAGUGAAAUCUAUGGGCUCAACCCAUAAACUGCUUUCAAAACUGUUUUUCUUGAGUAGUGCAGAGGUAGGCGGAAUUCCCGGUGUAGCGGUGGAAUGCGUAGAUAUCGGGAGGAACACCAGUGGCGAAGGCGGCCUACUGGGCACCAACUGACGCUGAGGCUCGAAAGUGUGGGUAGCAAACAGGAUUAGAUACCCUGGUAGUCCACACCGUAAACGAUGAUUACUAGGUGUUGGAGGAUUGACCCCUUCAGUGCCGCAGUUAACACAAUAAGUAAUCCACCUGGGGAGUACGACCGCAAGGUUGAAACUCAAAGGAAUUGACGGGGGCCCGCACAAGCAGUGGAGUAUGUGGCUUAAUUCGACGCAACGCGAAGAACCUUACCAAGUCUUGACAUCCCUUGACGGACAUAGAAAUAUGUUUUCUCUUCGGAGCAAGGAGACAGGUGGUGCAUGGUUGUCGUCAGCUCGUGUCGUGAGAUGUUGGGUUAAGUCCCGCAACGAGCGCAACCCUUAUGGUCAGUUACUACGCAAGAGGACUCUGGCCAGACUGCCGUUGACAAAACGGAGGAAGGUGGGGAUGACGUCAAAUCAUCAUGCCCUUUAUGACUUGGGCUACACACGUACUACAAUGGCGUUAAACAAAGAGAAGCAAGACCGCGAGGUGGAGCAAAACUCAGAAACAACGUCCCAGUUCGGACUGCAGGCUGCAACUCGCCUGCACGAAGUCGGAAUUGCUAGUAAUCGUGGAUCAGCAUGCCACGGUGAAUACGUUCCCGGGCCUUGUACACACCGCC